CCUACGGGAGACAGCAGUGGGGGAUAUUGCACAAUGGGGGGAACCCUGAUGCAGCGACGCCGCGUGGGUGAAGAAGCGCCUCGGCGCGUAAAGCCCUGUCAGCAGGGAAGAAAGUGACGGUACCUGAAGAAGAAGCCCCGGCUAACUACGUGCCAGCAGCCGCGGGAAUACGUAGGGGGCAAGCAUGAUCCGGAUUUACUGGGUGUAAAGGGGGCGCAGACGGCGUUGCAAGCCAGGAGUGAAAGCCCGGGGCCCAACCCCGGGACUGCUCUUGGAGCUGCGUGGCUGGAGUGCAGGAGGGGCAGGCGGAAUUCCUGGUGUAGCGGUGAAAUGCGUAGAUAUCAGGAGGAACACCGGUGGCGAAGGCGGCCUGCUGGACUGCAACUGACGUUGAGGCCCGAAAGCGUGGGGAGCAAACAGGAUUAGAUACCCUUGUAGUC
rnacentral:rRNA from 1 species